rnacentral:misc_RNA from 1 species
GGAUCAACUGCUGCAACUAGUUGAAAGUUUUUCACGGACGCCACUGUGACUCGGCCUUUAAAGUUUAGGCACCAGCACUGCAAUUGUUCAUGCCAUCGAGGGGCUUUGUUUUUUAGCACAAGUGGCUCUCGAGAAAGGACUGACACUGUCGAGCUGCUAUUUACAGAUGGCUCCUUCGCUUUUGAGACUAACGCGGGAGAUGACUUCUCGUCAAAAUGUUGUGGGAAUGAUGUAGGCGUUGGAGCACUACCUCCCUCUUGGAUAGAGGAGAAUGGGAUGGAAUGCAUAGCGCAAUGCA